UACGAAGGGGGGCUAGCGUUGCUCGGAUUGACUGGGCGUAAAGGGCGCGUAGGCGGUUCGUACAGUCAGACGUGAAAUUCCUGGGCUCAACCUGGGGGCUGCGUUUGAUACGUGCGGACUUGAGUGCGGAAGAGGGUCGUGGAAUUCCCAGUGUAGAGGUGAAAUUCGUAGAUAUUGGGAAGAACACCGGUGGCGAAGGCGGCGACCUGGUCCUUUUACUGACGCUGAGGCGCGAAAGCGUGGGGAGCAAACAGG
rnacentral:rRNA from 1 species